GACGAACGCUGGCGGCGUGCCUAACACAUGCAAGUCAACUUGACGGAAGGAGCAAUCUGACCGUAGAGUGGCGCAAGGGUGCGUAACGCGUAAGUAACUUGCCCCAAGGUAAGGAAUAACGUCGAGAAAUCGGCGCUAAUACCUCAUAAUGCAGCGGAUCCGCAUGGAUAUGUUGUUAAAGGUUUACCGCCUUGGGAUAGGCUUGCGUCUGAUUAGCUAGUUGGUGUGGUAACGGCACACCAAGGCUACGAUCAGUAACUGGUCUGAGAGGAUGAUCAGUCACACUGGAACUGAGACACGGUCCAGACUCCUACGGGAGGCAGCAGUGAGGAAUAUUGGGCAAUGCUCGAAAGAGUGACCCAGCAACGCCGCGUGGAGGAUGAAGGUAUUCUAUAUCGUAAACUCCUGUGAGAGCAGACGAAGACAGAUUAUAAUCUGGAUGACUGUAUGCUCAGAGGAAGCCCCGGACUAACUACGUG
rnacentral:rRNA from 1 species